GACGAACGCUGGCGGCGUGCCUAACACAUGCAAGUCGAGCGGGGUUGAAGCGAGAGGUAACUCGAACUUCUACCUAGCGGCGGACGGGUGAGUAACGCGUGGGCAACCUGCCUCAAGGUCUGGGAUAACAGCCCGAAAGGGCUGCUAAUACCGGGUAUGCUUGUGGCCUCGCAUGGGGCUAUGAGCAAAGGGGAAACCCGCCUUGAGAUGGGCCCGCGUCCCAUCAGCUAGUUGGUGAGGUAACAGCUCACCAAGGCGACGACGGGUAGCCGGCCUGAGAGGGUGACCGGCCACACUGGGACUGAGACACGGCCCAGACUCCUACGGGGGGCAGCAGUGGGGGAUCUUGCACAAUGGGCGAAAGCCUGAUGCAGCGACGCCGCGUGAGCGAAGAAGGCCUUCGGGUUGUAAACUGCUUUUAUGUGAGAAGAAUUUGACGGUAACACAUGAAUAAGGAUCGGCUAACUACGUG
rnacentral:rRNA from 1 species